GUCAGGCUAAAAAUAGCUUUUUCCAAAAAUGUCCUACUGCAUGUUUCAGCACUGGUUAGGUCUCACCACCGUUUAAAAAAAAGAAAGUGCUAAAAAGUGGGCGUGGUGUGUGCAGCGGAGGCGGGGAAGAGACAGAGAUAUGGAGGGUGCGGUUUGCACGCCAACCCAUGGUAAGAGUUUUAUAGAUGCGAAACUCCGCAGCAGUGACCGUCUCUCCCUGAGGAAGCGGAGUAAGAUCGAAGCGGAACUCCUUCCAGUACGGCCGAGGCUGCAGCAGAUCCUUCUCCUGCUCCACUGCAGUCAGACACAGAGGCCAGAGAGAGAAUUAAAAAACAACAACUACCACAGAGUAAAUGUGUGAAGACACUUGAGAUGAAGAAGACAUGUUGGAAGACUGAUUGGCAGGAGAAGAAGGGGAGACAAAAAAUGGAACAUUUGUUCUGGUGGAGCUCGGCAGAUUGGACUGACACCCACGGCUGGGGCUCUGCAGUGGGGUAAUUAGAGGCGUUGUGGAGCUGCUGCAGCUAAGCGCACCACCACUAAUUACAGUCCAGCACUGUAUUUUUAGAGGAGUGCCCAACGGUAUUUUCAUCUCAUCUUUUUUCUGCCUUUCAUUGGGGCUUGUAAUUCCCCACAGCUGUGUGCCCACUACAACAUCACAUGGCCUGCGUGAUCUGGACUGGCCUUUGUAGAUCCACAAUAAUCAAGAUUUACUUUUAGAAAAGCAUAGAGAAAAGGAAAACACUAUAUUAAAGACAACUAGCAGGAGAAACAACUUGACUUUUACGAUUUUUGAAGAACAUCAUGAACUCAAGGCCAUGAUGCUAGAGUGUUGCGAGUGAUUUUGCAAUAUGUCUGUAAUGUGAAAAGUCUAUUCUUGAACAUAAAGGUUCUUUACUGGCAUCUAUAGUUGCAUGAGGAACAUUUAUAAUCCAUGGAAACUUUAGAACUUUAGGUUAUUUAGAAAAAAUAAAAAAAAAGUUAUCACUGAAAAGUUCUUUAAGGAGCCAAACAUGGUUCAUAUAUGUAACUGUAUAAUUCCCCUUUUGAACCUUUAUUUUUGAGAGAAAACAUACAUUUAAUGUACUGGAAAAAGGUUUUUUUUCUUUAAAGCAAAUAAAAAUGGUUAUUUUAAGAA